AAUCCAUAGGUUAAUGAGGCGAACCGGGGGAACUGAAACAUCUAAGUACCCCGAGGAAAAGAAAUCAACCGAGAUUCCCCCAGUAGCGGCGAGCGAACGGGGAGGAGCCCAGAGCCUGAAUCAGCAUGUGUGUUAGUGGAAGCGUCUGGAAAGGCGCGCGAUACAGGGUGACAGCCCCGUACACAAAAGCGCAUGUGCUGUGAGCUCGAUGAGUAGGGCGGGACACGUGGUAUCCUGUCUGAAUAUGGGGGGACCAUCCUCCAAGGCUAAAUACUCCUGACUGACCGAUAGUGAACCAGUACCGUGAGGGAAAGGCGAAAAGAACCCCGGCGAGGGGAGUGAAAAAGAACCUGAAACCGUGUACGUACAAGCAGUGGGAGCACAGGUUUACCUGUGUGACUGCGUACCUUUUGUAUAAUGGGUCAGCGACUUAUAUUCUGUAGCAAGGUUAACCGAAUAGGGGAGCCGGAGGGAAACCGAGUCUUAAUUGGGCGUUAAGUUGCAGGGUAUAGACCCGAAACCCGGUGAUCUAGCCAUGGGCAGGUUGAAGGUUGGGUAACACUAACUGGAGGACCGAACCGACUAAUGUUGAAAAAUUAGCGGAUGACCUGUGGCUGGGGGUGAAAGGCCAAUCAAACCGGGAGAUAGCUGGUUCUCCCCGAAAGCUAUUUAGGUAGCGCCUCGUGAAUUCAUCUCCGGGGGUAGAGCACUGUUUCGGCUAGGGGGCCAU
rnacentral:rRNA from 1 species